rnacentral:misc_RNA from 1 species
UUUGGUUUGUUACGGGUGGUUGGCUGUCUGCUCGCGCAGCAACGUCCACGCGUGCUUACCUCUUCAUUUUAGCGACAAGGCUUGUUUUGCCUUGAGCAGCUUGUGGGUUUCCUGUGUUGCAUACCUAAUCGACGGUAACGUGUGGGUUUAUAGACGUCCCUUUUCGUCAUGCGUCGCUCAUGCGGCGUGGGAUGAACCUUGAAGCAGGCUUUGUGGUCCGCCUUGUUGGUGCUUUUGCAUCGACGAUGUGGCCCUUGAGGCAUCGCUUGGUCUCUUGUAUACGGAACCUGAUGUGGGCAUGGGUCUUUCGGGAUCCUGUAUUUGCCCUAUUUAAGCGUUCUCGCUUCUCCAAAACGAUCGUCCGUCACGUCUCGGCUUGUCCUUGCGUGGCGGGCUGCGUCGAAGA